UGUGUGUGUUUAUGUGUGUAUAUGUGUAUGUGUGUGCAUGUGCGUGUGUGUGUGCGUGUGUAUGCGUGUGUGAGUGUGUAUGUGUGUGUGUAUGUGUGUGCGUGUGUGUGUGUAAGUGUGUGUAUGCGUGUAUGUGUGUGUGAGUGUGUGUGAGUGUGUGUGUAUGUGUAUGUGUGUGCGUGUGUGUGUAUGUGUGUGUGUGUGUGUGUAUGUGUGUGUGUGUAUGUCUGUGCAUGUGUGUGUGUGAGUGUGGGUAUGCGUGUAUGUGUGCGUGUGUGUGUGUGUUAACCUUGUUUUCCUGUAUUUCAGCUACAGACCCUAAGACCUGUCUAAAGAAAUGUGAAUUUCUUGUAACUGAGUGUUUUCAAACUAGGGGUUUAGCAACCCCUGUUUGCACCUCCACUAAGCCAACAGAACACAGCAGUAUUAAUGGACGCUACAUCACUCAGCCAUGUGAUGAACAAUUAGACUGCAAAGGCAUUGGCCAAAAGCCAUGUCACUGCACAGAUGUUCCUGCAAAAGAUCAAAACGGUGAACCAACUGAAGUGAAAGCCGGCACCUCUAGAAUCAAACCAUCUGGUAAAAGGAUUUUGUCAACAUAGUAUAUGUUGCACUGUUGCAUUUCAUGACUAAAUAUUGUGAUUUCAGGCCUGCUAGUGCUCCUGGUGCUGCUUUUUGCUCGUUUUGGAUAUAUCUGGACACAGUGAGAUGAGAGUAUGCGAGUAGGCUGCACCGACUGUCUGAUUGUCCUGUGCAGAAGACUGGGAAAAAUAAACUUUAAUGUUUAAUGUUAAAUGUUUUUUACAUUUUUUCUGAAAAUUGCAGGUGCAGGUGCCAAAAUUAUUGAUAUCUCUAACACUUAUAUUAAAUAAUAAUCAAAUAAAAAUUGAUUGAAAAAUGAACUAUAUUGUGUAAUUCCGUCACACAAUCAUCCAUCCAUCCAUCCAUCCAUCCAUUAUCCUAACCCGCUUAUCCUGAACAGAGUUGCAGGGGGGCUGGAGCCUAUCCCACCAUACAUUGGGUGAAAGACAGGAAUACACCCUGGACAGGUUGCCAGUCCAUCACAGGGCACACACACCAUUCACUCACACACUCAUUCACUCAUUCACUCAUUCACUCACUCACUCACACACUCACUCACUCACUCACUCACACACUCACUCACUCACUCACACACUCACUCACUCAC